CACGUAGGGACCAAGCGUUAUCCGGAUUUAUUGGGCGUAAGGAGCUCGUAGGCGGUUUCGUAAGUCGGGUGUGAAAACUCAGGGCUCAACCCUGAGACGCCACCCGAUACUGCGAUGACUUGAGUCCGGUAGGGGAGUGGGGAAUUCCUGGUGUAGCGGUGAAAUGCGCAGAUAUCAGGAGGAACACCGGUGGCGAAGGCGCCACUCUGGGCCGGUACUGACGCUGAGGAGCGAAAGCGUGGGUAGCAAACAGG
rnacentral:rRNA from 1 species